AUAGGACUUUGCAGCUGCACCCUCCAUCUGAUUUUUUUUUUCUCUGCUGUUUUCCUUUCUCGUCACACCUGAUUUUUGGAGAUGAAGACCAUGUUUUUGUUGCCUCAUUUCAAAGGGAGCAGCUGGCCCUAUGGAAGGAAAGAAAAGAGCCACACCAUCCUCUAACUAGGAAAGAAAUCACUGCUGAUCACAAAAUCAGAAUCAAACAUUCUGGUUUCCUAUUUCUGCUCACCCGAGAAUACACCCUAGAGUUAAUGUAAUAUUUGUUUCCUAAGUAAAGCCGUGUAUAGGCUAUAUAGAAGCCUCGGCUGCUGACCUAAAGGGAAGGGGAAAAACGCAAAAAAAAAAGAGCAUAAAAGGGGGCAGAAAAAAGGAAGGAGAAAAAGAUUCAUGGAGGAUGUAAUUUUUCAGAAAAGAGAGGAAAGACACAAAAAAAAAGACCUAAAUCUAAACCCUCUCUAGAGGAGCCGCAGCCCCCUCUCAUCUUUUAAAAACGAAGUGAGCCACCCCCUGACUUUGAAAAGAAAACAGAGUGAGGAGAGAAAGUAAAAAAACAGAGAGAAGAGGCCGAAAACACAGGGAAGAGAAAGCAGAGAGAGACGCAAAGAAAGAGUGAAGAAAAAACCGAGAGAACCCGCAUAAGGCUGAGUUGAGAGACACAGAAAAACGAGGCCGAAAGGCAAAGGCUUUUCCAUCUAUCUGAACUUCAUCUUCUGCAUUCAGACAAGUAAGAUCUGCAGGUUAGUUUUCCAAUUUUUUUUUCUUCCUUGCUAUAUUCAAACUUGACAUCUGUUGUUUUUUUUCUGUUCCAAACCUGUUCCUUCCUUUUGCUCUGGAUAUUUGUUUCUGGUUGGACAAAAGGACAUUGCUUGCCCACGGUUCAUGCAUGGCUUGGAGUUUAGAUUUUUUUGUUCAUGUUAAAGUUACGUUUCUUUUCUUAUUCUCUUGCCGUGAGGAACCGUGAGCUUUAAAGGCUUUCAUUAUCUUUCCCUUUCUUUGUCCGAGUGUCUCUUUGCCUUAGGAUGUUGCAUAGUUUGAGUUUGGCUCCUAAAUAAAGCUCUAUCUAGAAAGUGAAACACGAGGGAAGUCCCUUUAGAGUCAAGGCGGUCUUUUAGCAGACUUUCGGUUCAUGUUUUCAUUUUGAUUGUUUUUUCUGAAAAAAGAGCUAGCUGGCCGUUGGUUUGUGUUUGUAGUUCUGUAUUUGCUUCAGUAUAAAGGUGUUGCUCAAGUCGUUUCCUUUUGCAUGAGACUAACGAGUGUGGCAGUAUUAAAGAUCGGAAAAAGGAUGGGUGUUGAGUCAUGGUUACUGUUAUAGGUUUUGGUUUUCAGAAUUGUGGUCUUCUUGUGCAUACAGACUUGUUAUUUUUUUUUAGUUAUAGGAUUUGGGUUUAAAUGGACGGACUGAAUCUUGUGUGAGUAAAGUUUGGCUUUGGGAAAUUUAUUUUUUAUAUAUAUCAGUGUUUUGGGCCUUUUGCAAAUUUUGGAAUGGAUGUGUAUGGCUGUUUUUUUUUUUCUUUUUUGUGAUGCUUGCGUUUUGACAAAAAAAAAAUAUAAAACAAUGUUUUUGCGUGUUGCAUACGGCCAAUACCCUAACAUGUUUUGAACUUUUUUUAUAUACAAAAAAUAUUGGAAGUUUCGAAAAUGUGUUUUCGCAUGGAUUUCUUAAACACACAAAAAAAAUUAUUUUUUUUGCAUUUCUGGAUUUUACAACAUGUUUGUAAAACUCCAAAGGGUAUUGGCCAAUAUUUCAAAAAAAUAUAAAAAUCUUAUUUUGGGGGGAAUUCAUCUAUUAUUCACCGCUAAUGUUUGGAUAAAGAAAUCCUUAAAGGACGAAUAUCCAAAAUAUUAUUGGGAGUAAUAAAUCCACACACAUCCUUGAAAGAAGCCUUGAUUAUAAUCGAGGACAUUUCAAUUUUUUACUCCAUGGUUUACGAGCCGUGAGAGUAUAAAACACUAAGACAAAAAAAAUAGGUUUUUUAAAGCACCCUAGAUUUCUAAAUUUUUGUCCCUCCUCCUUGCGAUUUACGAGUCACAAACUCUUGAAAUACCAAGGGAAAAAUGAGCUUGUAAAGCACAUGGAAUCUCCUUGGAUUUCUAUCUUAAUAAAUUUAGUUAGAAUCAAACUUAGAAAAACUGAUGGAAUUAGGAAACACCAACACCAUAGAAAUUAUAAGACAAACCAAACACCAAGUAGCUUACCUUAGGUAGGGCGUACUAGGGGUGCUAAUACCUUCCCUUUACGCAACCAGUCCCUUGCCUUAGAAUCUCUGAAAGACCAGUUAGGGUUCCUAGUGACCAUAAUACUAGGUGGCGACUCCCUUAUUCACAAAGAAAACAAAGGACCCCGAAAUCAAUCGAGGGUUCGCCGCGACGCCGCGCUCCACCGCGAGGGUGCGACAAUGCUGAUGCAGAGUUGAUUCAAGGUGGGGAUUCCAAUACCAUCAACAAGGUUACAUGCCUGGUAACAAUCUCUGCUCUGCUAUAACAUAUAGCCACAUUGUUUUCACUGUAUUAGAAGAAUAAAAAAUACCAAGUACUGUUGAUUAGAAAUUUUUUAGGAAUUAAUUCAAGUAUUGAUGCACUAAGUCAAGUAGAUAACGGUAAUAAUUUAUUUAGAAUUGUAAUAGAUUUACAUGGUUAAAAAUUACAUAUCGUUUAGAACUAAAUUAAGGCUCUGUUUGUUUGCAGAAAAGUUGUUUCCUUUUGAAAAGUGAAUUUCGGGGAAAGUGAAUUCCGGGAAAGUGAAUUCCGAGAAAGUAUUUUCCGAUGUUUGGUAGUGUUAUGGAAAAUGAACUGGAAAACACUUUACAGUGUUUGGUUAUGUUAUGGAAAAUGAACAGAAAAUAAUUUAUUAAUGAAUUAAUUUUUUUUUCAAGUUUAUCUAAUAUAUAUAAAAUAUUUAAUAUAAAAUAUUUAAUCACUUACAAUAAAAAAAAAUGAAAUCUAAAAAAUAUAAUGAUGAAUUUUUUUUAUUAUAUCCUAUAUUCAUACAUAGCAUAUUUUAUAAAAUAUAACUAUAUAUGUCAUAUCAUAUUAUAGAGAAAUAAGCUUGUGAAAUAUUUUUUACGUAAAACCUAUUAAUAUAUUUUUUUCAAUUUUAAAAGCUUAAAAUAAGUUUUUUUUUCAUAUGAAGAAAGCCAAAUUAGUUUAUGGUAAGAGUUAUACAUUUGGGUUUUUUUUUUGGUAUGAAGAAUUUUUUAAAAGAUAAAUACAUACAAAAAUAUUUUUAUGGGUUUUUUGGAUAAAUAUUUUUUUUGUACGGGUAAAGACAAUUAUCUCUUUAAUAUCCCUUUAAUAUAUAUCAAAUAAACAUCAAGAUAUAAAUAUAAAUUUCUAACAUCAAACAUAAUCAUGCAUAAAUAUUAAGUUUCGAUGUCAUAUACAUACAUAUUAGUUCAAAUUACAAACAUAAACAUGCUAGACCGAAUUAAACAAGUAAACAUUUCAUAAGUUCACAACAAUCAAUAGACAUUGCGCAAUGAAAUUCAUAUAAUUACCGGCAUAGUCACACAAAUUUAUCCAUAUAUAACAAAUAUAAUCAAACACUAAUCAUAAAUUAAUCAAAACAAAAUAAAGGACAAAUUUAUAUUUAUUAGGGUUCUGUUAUAAUUUCGUUGUUCCCAUCUCAUUCUCCCAUUCCCCACCCAUUCCCCACAACCUAUCGGUUUCUAUAAUUUCCUAUUUUUCCUGUUAUAUUCAUUCCCCAUUUCCCCUGUUAUAACCGGUUUGUAUAAUUCCUCAUUAACAUCCCCAAUUGCACUGUCCCAUUCCCCUCCCAUUCCCCAUUUCCCCUGUUAUUCAUUCCCCAUUUUCCAUAUAAUUUCAUUAUAACCGGUUUGUAUAAUUCCCCAUUAGCAUUCAACAAUUUCACUGUUCCCAUUCCCCUCUCCUCUCGGUUCUAGUUCCCCCAAUUCCCCUGUUCCCAUUUUGUUUGUAAAGUUCACAGAAAUCACUGUAAAAGAGAGCAAGGGUUCACUGUAAAAGUUCACAGAAAUCUCCCCCCCCGUUUUGUCUCUCUUUGCUAACAGAUUGAUCGGCCCCCUCACAGAAAUCGAUCGCCCCCCCUGUUUUGAUCUCACAGAAAUCGAUCGCCCCCCCUCACAGAAAUCGAUCGCCCCCCUGUUUUGGUCUCUCUCACAGAAAUCGAUCGCCCCCCCUGUUUUGGCCUCUCUCUGUUCACAUAAAUCGAUCCCCCCCUACCGCGUUGCCUCUCCAUGUUAACAGAAAUCGCCCCCCUUGUUUUACCUCACUGUUCACAGAUAUCGCCCCCCCACCGUUUUCCCUCUCUUUGUUCACAGUUAUCUCUCCCCCCCCCCCCGGUUUUGUCUCUCUGUUUGGUUACUGAGCUGCCGAUUGUGAUUCAUGAAGAAGAAAACAGUAGCAGAAAAAAUGUGUUUUUUUUUAUUGCUUGAUUAGUUGAAUGUGACGAGAUUAAGAUGAAGAGUUAUGGAAAUGUUAUGAAAAAAAUAUGACAGUAGCAGUAGCAUAUUUAUCAAGAAUAUCAAAGAUUUAUGCCAUCAUUUUUACAGAUCUAUGUAGAAGAAGAUAAAAACAUAAAGGAAAUAAAGAGGAAAAAAAAUACCUGAAAUUAAUUGGUUCAGAAAAAUACUCUUGUUCCUGCUCAGUUUCCAAUUGAUUUUGAAGAAAAAGAGACUGUGUGAUUUUAAAGAAAAAGUUCUCAGAGCUGUGUAUGAGAAAAUGAACGGAAGGAAAGUGUUUUCCUUUCUUUAACAUAAGGAAAACACUUUUCUUAGUAACGUUACUUUUUUCAGUUUGACUGGAAUUCAGUUUCCUUUGACUAUUUUUCUAUAUUGUUGCCAAACAUGGAAAAACAAGGAAAUCACUUUCCUGCAAUCAAACACGCCCUAAAUGAAAAAUCCUCAGCACUUGCAGAAAAUCCAUCUUCGUUAUAGCUAGAGCUAAUGAGCCACAAAACGCAGCUAGAAGCGGGAGAAGAAUGUGCCCUGGAGAAUCUUUUGCUCUUUAAGUUAGGCAACUAGCACUUGCUUCGUUGCUUCAUGGGUUUUGAUUUUGUAAUAUUAGUGUCACUUUGAAAAUAUAAAUCAACGGAUUUGUGGUGGCAGUCACCAACACUUAAUGAAUAUAAACUUCAGAAAAUCUAGAUAAUGGAGAGAUAGUGUGUAAAUUGUGGUCCGCUUAUGAAGUUUAUUUAUAUACCAGCUAUGGAACCAUACUCCACCGCGGGUUAUAAUUUUUUUUCAAGAAAAUAUUGGACAUGUAGGCUGCUUUGAUAUGUUUUUUACAUAAAAAAUUGAAAUUAUAAAUCAAAAAGCUUAUACAAGUGUCUAAUUAAUAUAAAUAUCAUCCAUGUAAAUAAACAAAAAAAACCAUUAAUUAAGAUGUUCACUGAAUUUAUUUAUUUAAAUCAAUACAAGAUAAAUCUACACCGAAAAAACCCAUGACCUAAAAGAUAAAUACAAAUGAAACUGAUUGAAUAAAUUAACCCACACCCUAAAAAAAAGAUUAAGCAAAGGUCGAACACAUAAGAAAUAUUUUUAAAAAGAAUAUCUUUUAUUUUAAAAAGUAAAAUUCAUUUGUAUAAAACAAAAAAAAUAUAGAUAAAGUAUAAUAUUAUCUUGAAAAAUCAAACACAAACAAAAUAAUCUUUUUUAAAAAAACUUGUAUUCUAGAAAGCCAUGCAAAACUCGUGAUCUAGGUCAUGGGACUAAGAUAAACCCAUAGAAAAAAUAGAAGAAAAUCACAAAACUAAUAUUUUUUUAAAAAAUAAUGCAAAAUGAUAAGAUCGCAGGAAGUCAAAUCCCUAACAAAUCAAAUGUCGAAAGAUGAAGCAAAAAAAAAAAUAACAAUCACACAAAAGGAUCUAAAAAAUAAGGGUGAAAAUAAAAAAAUAAUCAAAGGGCAAACAAAAAUUUUCAACUAGAGCGUUAAAUUGAAUUGAAAAAAUAGUUUUAACAAAAAAAAACAAAUUAAAAUAAUGAGAGUCAAACUGGAAAAAAAAUAAAACAACAAAAAAAUUGAUUGGAGGAUGAAAUUCAAUGCCAAAAAAAAUUUAACGAAAGGACCAAGGAAAAAAAAAAUAAGGACUCAAAUGAAAAACAAAAUAUAUGAGAAAUUGUAAUUGAAGGACUAAAUUGAAAAAAUUUAAACUUUUAUAAAAGGAAUAAAAAUCAAAUAAGAAAAUAAAAGAAUGAGGACUGAAACUAAAAAAAAAAAAAAAAGAGACAAUCAUACACUUUACCUGGAAGGAGAGAGAAAAGAAGGAAAAAAAUGGUCGUCGACGACAAUCUAACAAUCAUACGUAGUCACGCACCCCACUAUGUGGAAGAGGACACGGUGGCGCAUCCGAAGAGAUGGCGGAAUAUCAGGUUUGGUCACUAAGUGGUGUCACACGUGUUGUCAUAAUAGCGUGGACGCCACCCCCUCACUUAACACGCGCUAAUAGAUUUUUUUAUUAAGAAAUUAAAAGUCAAUGUGAAAAUAUCAAAAUGUCCCCCUGACCUUGGUAAUUACCCAAAAAAUCCAUUUGAAAGUAUAAAAAUACUCUUAAAUGUAAACUUGAUUUUUUUUCUUUUCUAAGGCCAAAAUCAUACUGUAAUUGUACAUAAAUAAUGGAAAAAACCAUAAAAGCCCUGGUCCAACAGCCCAACAUUUUUUUGACCCUAGAGAUAAAAAAGUAUUUUUUUUAUUUAAAUUUUUAUGAAAAGUCAGAAAAUUUCUUGUCCAAUAGCUCCAAGUUUUGUUGACUCUAAGGUAAAAAAGUAUUUUUAUUGUGAAAAAAAUGAAAAAGACCUAAAUACCCCUGAACAAUCUUUUGAUCACCAACGGGCAGGAAAAAAGACGAAAGCACCCUCAUUAUAGAGACCUUUUUUUUCCUCCACUCAUGGACAACUAAAUAAUUUUAUUGUAGUAAUCCACAGGAAAGUGACAUGGGCAACGAAAUGUUUAGGCGCUUCUUGCACCUUUGACACAGAGUGAAGAGGCUGUUCUUUCAAUAUCGGUAAGGAUUAACUGAGUAGAAUUGUAUUUUUUCAAAUUAGCUAUUUAUGGGGCUAUUAUUUGGUGUAAUAAUAGAAAUCUUGGACUUGCAACUGUAAGUGUACGUGUUCACAUGGUUAUAGUAAUGAUUAAGUUGUAGUGAUGCUUUGAGCUAAGCGAGGAUUUUCCAGUGAUAAUCUUUCUGGCUUUUGGCAGCACAUUUCCCUUGUUAUACUGAUAUAUCCUCUAGCUGAAAGCGUAGGCUUUCUUUCUCAACCGAGACUGAUUUUUCACUACUGUUGGAGUGGAUCCAAACUUUCUUUGCUGGAAGUUAAAGAUUAUAGACUGUCUAUAACUGUUUAAAGCACAUCAGAAGCCCUGACGACCCCGAGAAGUUUCUUGAACAAAGCAAUCUGCCAAGGCUUCUUUAAAAUCAAAACCUGCUUAUCAAAAUUCCAGGGGAGGGGCCUUCUCAAAUACUUUGUGUUUGCCUUCCCUUGAAAGAAUUGGAAGUGAAAUAAUCUAGCCUGUCUUAUCAAUGCUCUCUACCCG
rnacentral:lncRNA from 1 species